AGACGUCCUAUUCGGUUUCCGGUUGUGAUGCCUUUCCCUCGUGAAGUGGCUUUCUCCUUCUCCCUUUCGUCCGAUGACGUCUGGUCGAGUCUCCCUUUCAUCCUAUGAUGUCUGGUUGAGUUUUAAAUCCUUCCUCUCCGUUGGUGUCGAUAAACGUUGAGUCUCCCUUUCGUCCUAUGACGUCUGGUCGAGUUGUCCUGGUCGUCCCCAGUUGAUUUACCUCCCCGUUGGUUUCGAUAAACGCUG
rnacentral:lncRNA from 1 species